rnacentral:rRNA from 1 species
AUUGAACGCUGGCGGCAGGCCUAACACAUGCAAGUCGAGCGAAUGAGGGAAGCUUGCUUCCCGAUUUAGCGGCGGACGGGUGUGUAAUGCCUAGGAAUCUGCCUCUUAGCGUUGGAAACGACGUCUAAUACCGGAUACGAACUUCGGAGGCAUCUCCUGGGGGUGGAAAGAAUUUCGGUCAAGGAGGGACUCGCGGCCUAUCAGCUAGUUGGUGAGGUAAUGGCUCACCAAGGCGACGACGGGUAGCCGGCCUGAGAGGGUGAGCGGCCACACUGGGACUGAGACACGGACCAGACUCCUACGGGAGGCAGCAGUGGGGAAUAUUGCACAAUGGGCGAAAGCCUGAUGCAGCAGCGCCGCGUGAGGGACGACGGCCUUCGGGUUGUAAACCUCUUUUAGUAGGGAAGAAGCGAAAGUGACGGUACCUGCAGAAAAAGCACCGGCUAACUACGUGCCAGCCGCCGCGGUAAGAC